rnacentral:tRNA from 1 species
CAGGGGUUAGUUUAUUAAAAAUAUCGGUUUUGGAGACCGAUGAUAGGAAGCUUUCUACCUCUGA